GUGCUCAUUUCAGCAGCACAUACUUUAAAAAUUGGAAAAAUACGGAGAAAUUUACCAUCUCCCCUGUGCAAGAAUGACCUGUAAAUUUGUGAAAGAAUUUGGAGAAAAAUAUUU
rnacentral:snRNA from 1 species